GACGAACGCUGGCGGCGUGCUUAACACAUGCAAGUCGAGCGGUAAGGCCCUUUCGGGGGUACACGAGCGGCGAACGGGUGAGUAACACGUGGGUGACCUGCCCUCAGCUCUGGGAUAAGCCUGGGAAACUGGGUCUAAUACUGGAUAUGACUCCACGGUGCAUGUCGUGGGGUGGAAAGCCUUGUGCGGCUGAGGAUGGGCCCGCGGCCUAUCAGCUUGUUGGUGGGGUGANGGCCUACCAAGGCGACGACGGGUAGCCGGCCUGAGAGGGCGACCGGCCACACUGAGACUGAGACACGGCCCAGACUCCUACGGGAGGCAGCAGUGGGGAAUCUUGCGCAAUGGGCGAAAGCCUGACGCAGCGACGCCGCGUGAGGGAUGACGGCCU
rnacentral:rRNA from 1 species